rnacentral:lncRNA from 1 species
GACUUCCAGCUGGAGCAGCCCAGCCUGCCCGCGCAUUCGCUUGCUCGCGCUAGGUUUAAGAGCGCGGGGAGAUUGAAAGAAGAUGUGAGCUGAAUGCACCCCAUGUGAACCUUGUAACUCUAAUCUCCAAGGGAACCAGGAACUUAACGACGCCUCAGCCACCUCUGAGGAAACACAUCCAGAGCAGACCUGAUUUGGAUAUCUACCAAGAAUCUACAGAAGUUGACAGAGACUGACCAUCAUAGAGACGCAGACACUCAGUGAUAUACAAUUGGAGACACAAAAUUGGAAGAAAGGGAAGGCCAAAUUUCCCAUGGUGAUGCAGGAAUUGGGAGCCCAGAUGAGGAACCAUCUCGAAUAGCAUUCCUGGCACUGCAUCAGCACAGGGAAAAUAGAGAUAAAUAAGAUACUUUCCUGCUUUGAAGGAGCCUUAUAAGGUCUUGGGAAAUUUGAAGAAAAUGAGAGGAAAGCAAAGAUGCUUCCAAGGGGACAUCCUAAUACAGUAAUUCUG